AUUGAACGCUGGCGGCAGGCCUAACACAUGCAAGUCGAGCGGCAGCGGGAAAGUAGCUUGCUACUUUUGCCGGCGAGCGGCGGACGGGUGAGUAAUGCCUGGGGAUCUGCCCAGUCGAGGGGGAUAACUACUGGAAACGGUAGCUAAUACCGCAUACGCCCUACGGGGGAAAGCAGGGGACCUUCGGGCCUUGCGCGAUUGGAUGAACCCAGGUGGGAUUAGCUAGUUGGUGAGGUAAUGGCUCACCAAGGCGACGAUCCCUAGCUGGUCUGAGAGGAUGAUCAGCCACACUGGAACUGAGACACGGUCCAGACUCCUACGGGAGGCAGCAGUGGGGAAUAUUGCACAAUGGGGGAAACCCUGAUGCAGCCAUGCCGCGUGUGUGAAGAAGGCCUUCGGGUUGUAAAGCACUUUCAGCGAGGAGGAAAGGUUGGUAGCUAAUAACUGCCAGCUGUGACGUUACUCGCAGAAGAAGCACCGGCUAACUCCGUGCCAGCAGCCGCCGUAA
rnacentral:rRNA from 1 species